GUCAUGCAAAAAUGAUUACAGAGGCAGCUUGGGAUUUGCUCUGAAAUACGCGAGAAGAAGGAAGAGCCUUCCUAUAAUGGAUCUUUAGAUUUCCCCAGAUCUGUUCCCCUAGAAAAUAUAAACUGUAGCAUGUCCGCCCCAGCGAGGAGGAGGCUCAUGAGGGAUUCCAAGAGGCUCCAGCAGGAUCCUCCUGCGGGCAUUAGUGUUGCCGCUCAAGGAACGCUGUCGUGUUUUGGGAGCAGAUCUGGACUGCUGAUUGAAAAACAAGCAAAAGCACCAAUCGCUGCUGCAUUGGAAGGCCAGGGUUGGCGUGCAGUGUGAAUUUGUGCUUGGAGUUGAGCUCUUGCUCCUAAGCAAAUUGUUACGUCCUAAGCAUAUACUUGUUAAUGGAGUCGAACCCUUGCUCGUAGAGAAGGCAGUUAAGAUGUUGGUGCAAGUGCACAAAAGACUGCUAAAGCCAUUGGAUUCGUAGGUUUGCACUGGGGUCAAUCACCUGUGGCUUGAAAUUAAAAUCAGACCAAAAUCAAAGCAUUGUUCCAGAAAGCUACAUUCUCGCCUGUGAUGAAGGCCUGUAUUUGAAAUUCUACAAAGAUAUUCAGCAGACCCUGUAGAUUGUGGAUUUGGGUGCAUGAUUUUGAAAAGAACAACAGAACACACAACAAGUGUUCAAGUGGGUGCAAAAUGUCAUUUAAAUGCAGAACAUAUACAGCACUCAGGAAGAGCUUGAGUAAAUACAUGAUGUGCAAUCUGCCUUUUUGAGGGCAUAUUGCUAUUUUUUUUUCUUUCUUCUAAAAUUGGUAUACAUAAAUUCUCAACAGUAAACUGGCCGUCGAGAAAAUUACUACCUUGAUAGUCACAAAGCAAAAGA